rnacentral:rRNA from 1 species
GGUCUCACUGAUUCCUCCUUCCUGAUGAACCUUAAUGCCAUUAAUUUGGUGUUUUGGGGAAUUUGGACUGUUACUUUGAAAAAAUUGAGUGUUUAAAGCAAGCUAACGCUUGAAUACAUUAGCAUGGAAUAAUGAAAUAGGACGUUCGAUCCUAUUUUGUUGGUUUCUAGGAUUGACGUAAUGAUUAAUA